GACGAACGCUGGCGGCGUGCUUAACACAUGCCAGUCGAACGGAAAGGCCCUGCUUUUGUGGGGUGCUCGGGUGGCGAACGGGUGAGUAACACGUGAGUAACCUGCCCUUGACUUUGGGAUAACUUCAGGAAACUGGGGCUAAUACCGGAUAGGAGCUCCUGCUGCAUGGUGGGGGUUGGAAAGUUUCGGCGGUUGGGGAUGGACUCGCGGCUUAUCAGCUUGUUGGUGGGGUAGUGGCUUACCAAGGCUUUGACGGGUAGCCGGCCUGAGAGGGUGACCGGCCACAUUGGGACUGAGAUACGGACCAGACUCCUACGGGAGGCAGCAGUGGGGAAUAUUGCACAAUGGGCGGAAGCCUGAUGCAGCAACGCCGCGUGCGGGAUGACGGCCUUCGGGUUGUAAACCGCUUUCGCCUGUGACGAAGCGUGAGUGACGGUAAUGGGUAAAGAAGCACCGGCUAACUACGUG
rnacentral:rRNA from 1 species